rnacentral:rRNA from 1 species
GAUGAACGCUGGCGGCGUGCUUAACACAUGCAAGUCGAACGAUGAAGCCCAGCUUGCUGGGUGGGUUAGUGGCGAACGGGUGAGUAACACGUGAGUAACCUGCCCUUGACUCUGGGAUAAGCCUGGGAAACUGGGUCUAAUACUGGAUAUGACUUCUCAUCGCAUGGUGGGGGGGGGGAAGAUUUAUUGGUCUUGGAUGGACUCGCGGCCUAUCAGCUUGUUGGUGGGGUAGUGGCUCACCAAGGCGACGACGGGUAGCCGGCCUGAGAGGGUGACCGGCCACACUGGGACUGAGACACGGCCCAGACUCCUACGGGAGGCAGCAGUGGGGAAUAUUGCACAAUGGGCGGAAGCCUGAUGCAGCGACGCCGCGUGAGGGAUGACGGCCUUCGGGUUGUAAACCUCUUUCAGUAGGGAAGAAGCGAGAGUGACGGUAAUUGCAGAAGAAGCGCCGGCUAACUACGUG